CUCCCAACCCAAGUCCCAGGGAGGUUCACUCUUGCUUAGCUUUAUCCAAAAUCAACCGAGCAUGCAAAAAUGGAGCUCACCAGCUAUAAUAAUGGCUACACUAAUUGCUAAUGGUUUCUCUCCAUCUCUCUCAGAAACAGAGACAGAGAGAGGUUUGAUAGAUAGAGAUGAUAGACAGGUGAUUGGACAGAUGAUAGAUAGAUAGAGAGAAUAGGUAGGUAGAUAGGUAGAUAGAUAGAUAGAGAGAGAGAGAGAUAGAGAGAUAGAGAGAGAGAGAUAUAGUAGAGUGUAGGUGAUUUGACAGAUUAAAGAUGGUAGAUAGAUGAGAGAGAGAGAUAGACAAAGAGAGAGAUAGUAGAUAGAUUAGAUAGAUAGAUAGAUAGAUAGAUAGAUAGAUAGAUACAUAGAUACAUAGAUAGACAGGUUUGAUAGAUAAAGAUGAUAGAGAUGAUAGACAGAAGGUAGGUGAUUGGACAGAUGAUCAAUAGAGAGAGAGAGAGUAGGUACAUAGAUGAUAGAUUUAGAUAGAUAGAUAGAUAGAUAGAUAGAUAGAUAGAUAGAUAUGAUAGACAGAAGGUAGGUGAUUAGACAGAUUAAAGAUGGUAGAUAGAUGAGAGAGAGAAACAGACAAAGAGAGAGAGAUAGACAAAGAGAGAGAGACAGUAGAUAGAUUAGAUAGAUAGAUAGAUAGAUAGAUAGAGAUAGAUAGAUAGAUAGAGAGAGAGAGAUACAGACAGACAGACAGAUAUAUGAGAGAGAGAGAUAAUAAAUAAAUAGAUAAGGUAUGCUUUCAGAUUUGUGGGGUCCUUGGUGCUCUCUGAUCUUUCUUAUUUUCUUGCAGACACAGACAUUUCAUGACCCCACUAGGUAACAUCAUCAAUGCUGGAAGGUAGUGGGAUGCGGCAAGGGAUGCAGCACCUGGAAGCUGCAGGCAAGCAGGUGUUUUUGGUCUUUUUUUUUUUUUAAAUCCCUUUUUGGCUUUUGGAUCAUCUCUUUUGAAUGAACGGAGCAUUCUCCCAUGGAGACUCCAUGUGAUUGGAGAAUGAAAGACACAUACAAACACGCGGAAAUAAACACCAGUACUCAAGAACUGUUUCUUAGCGGCCUGGAGGCUAAAGCAUACGAAGUAUGGUUGCAGGAAUUGGGUAUGUCUAGUAGUCCAAUGAAAAGAAGGACCAGGGGUGAUAUGUUAGCAGCCUUCCAGUAUUUGAGGGGCUGCCACAAAGAAGAGGGGAGUCAACCUAUUCUCCAAAGCACCUGAAGGCAGGAGAAGAAGCAACGGAUGGAAACUAACCAAGGAGAGAAGCAACCUGGAAUUAAGGAGAAGCUUCCUAACAGUGAGGAUAAUUCACCAGUGGAACAGAAGUUGCCUCCAGAAGUUCUGGAUGCUCCAUCACUUGAGGUUUUCAAGAAGAGAUUGGACAUCAGUUGUCUGAAAUGGCGGAGAGUCUCCUGUCUGAGCAGAGGGUUGGACUAGAAGACCUCCAAGGUCCCUUCCAACUCUAUUAUUCUGUUAAAUGACUGGUGGUGACCCAGGUUGACCACGUCAUAACACCUGGAACUUCCUUCUGUAAAUCCUCCCCACCCAACUCCCUAGUCCUUCAGGAGCCUCUCAUCUCAACUUGCUUCCAGUCACCUCCUACUUUGGACAGGAGCAGGAAGAGGUCAAGUAACAUUAAACGGGUGUAUGUGUGUGUUUUUAAAUUGAGGGCCAAUUUUAUAUAUUCGAUUUUAAUUGGUUUUAAAUUUUAUAAAUCUAUGUGUUUUUAAUAUGGCUGUACACUGCCCUGAGUCCUGAGGGAGAAGGGUGGUAUAGAAAUCUAAUAAACUUUCAAACUUUCAAA